AUUGAACGCUGGCGGCAGGCCUAACACAUGCAAGUCGAGCGGAUGAAGGGAGCUUGCUCCUGGAUUCAGCUGCGGACGGGUGAGUAAUGCCUAGGAAUCUGCCUUGUAGUUGGGGAUAACGUCCGGAAACGGGCGCUAAUACCGCAUACGUCCUGAGGGAGAAAGUGGGGGAUCUUCGGACCUCACGCUAUCAGAUGAGCCUAGGUCGGAUUAGCUAGUUGGUGGGGUAAAGGCCUACCAAGGCGACGAUCCGUAACUGGUCUGAGAGGAUGAUCAGUCACACUGGAACUGAGACACGGUCCAGACUCCUACGGGAGGCAGCAGUGGGGAAUAUUGGACAAUGGGCGAAAGCCUGAUCCAGCCAUGCCGCGUGUGUGAAGAAGGUCUUCGGAUUGUAAAGCACUUUAAGUUGGGAGGAAGGGCAGUAAGUUAAUACCUUGCUGUUUUGACGUUACCAACAGAAUAAGCACCGGCUAACUUCGUG
rnacentral:rRNA from 1 species